GACGAACGCUGGCGGCGUGCCUAAUACAUGCAAGUAGAACGCACAGUUUAUACCGUAGCUUGCUACACCAUAGACUGUGAGUUGCGAACGGGUGAGUAACGCGUAGGUAACCUGCCUGGUAGCGGGGGAUAACUAUUGGAAACGAUAGCUAAUACCGCAUAAUAUUAAUUAUUGCAUGAUAAUUAAUUGAAAGGUGCAAUUGCACCACUACCAGAUGGACCUGCGUUGUAUUAGCUAGUAGGUGAGGUAACGGCUCACCUAGGCGACGAUACAUAGCCGACCUGAGAGGGUGAUCGGCCACACUGGGACUGAGACACGGCCCAGACUCCUACGGGGGGCAGCAGUAGGGAAUCUUCGGCAAUGGACGAAAGUCUGACCGAGCAACGCCGCGUGAGUGAAGAAGGUUUUCGGAUCGUAAAGCUCUGUUGUAAGAGAAGAACGGGUGUGAGAGUGGAAAGUUCACACUGUGACGGUAUCUUACCAGAAAGGGACGGCUAACUACGUG
rnacentral:rRNA from 1 species